AAUAUUAGUGUGUAUUAGUCAGCAAUGCCGGUUUACUGCACGGAAAGUGCGGUAAUACCGUACCGGCUAAAGAAUGCACAUGCGUGAACAUUACC
rnacentral:lncRNA from 1 species